GUCGCGUCACGGCUGAAAAGGGAAUCAGGUGAGAAUCCUGAACAGAACCCGCUGCUGUAAGUCCUUUAAUAGGUCGGUUAGCACACCAUCGUCACUGUGGCACCUGCCAUGGGAAGGCGGCAAACCGAUGGGACAAGUCAGAAAACCUGCCAUAUUAUCUAA
rnacentral:ncRNA from 1 species